GCAAGGAGCACACAGCCUGUGGGAAAAUGUGGGGCGAGGGUUAGGGAAGGCUUCCUGGAGGAGCGGGCAUGUGUGCUGCGACUUGAAGGGCAGACAGGGACGGUCUGGUAGUGAGGCCUGCCAGGAAAAUUAGAAAAGGAGUUUAUCUGGGUUUCGGAAAGAGCAGUCUGGCAGCAUGUCCGAGCACAGCCCAGAGCAAAGAAAGAUUCACUGCGUCAUUCACAGCCCACAAAGUCAUUUUUCAAUGGGGCUGGCAGUGAGCCUGGAUGGGCAUGGAGAAGUUUCACCGCGCAGAGCACAA